rnacentral:rRNA from 1 species
AGUGAACGCUGGCGGUAGGCCUAACACAUGCAAGUCGAACGGCAGCACAGUAAGAGCUUGCUCUUACGGGUGGCGAGUGGCGGACGGGUGAGGAAUACAUCGGAAUCUACUUUUUCGUGGGGGAUAACGUAGGGAAACUUACGCUAAUACCGCAUACGACCUACGGGUGAAAGCAGGGGAUCUUCGGACCUUGCGCGAUUGAAUGAGCCGAUGUCGGAUUAGCUAGUUGGCGGGGUAAAGGCCCGCCAAGGCGACGAUCCGUAGCUGGUCUGAGAGGAUGAUCCGCCACACUGGAACUGAGACACGGUCCAGACUCCUACGGGAGGCAGCAGUGGGGAAUAUUGGACAAUGGGCGCAAGCCUGAUCCAGCCAUACCGCGUGGGUGAAGAAGGCCUUCGGGUUGUAAAGCCCUUUUGUUGGGAAAGAAAAGCAGCAGGUUAAUACCCCGCUGUUCUGACGGUACCCAAAGAAUAAGCACCGGCUAACUUCGUG